UCGAGCGAAUCGAUGGGAGCUUGCUCCCUGAGAUUAGCGGCGGACGGGUGAGUAACACGUGGGCAACCUGCCUAUAAGACUGGGAUAACUUCGGGAAACCGGAGCUAAUACCGGAUACGUUCUUUUCUCGCAUGAGAGAAGAUGGAAAGACGGUUUCGGCUGUCACUUAUAGAUGGGCCCGCGGCGCAUUAGCUAGUUGGUGAGGUAAUGGCUCACCAAGGCGACGAUGCGUAGCCGACCUGAGAGGGUGAUCGGCCACACUGGGACUGAGACACGGCCCAGACUCCUACGGGAGGCAGCAGUAGGGAAUCUUCCGCAAUGGACGAAAGUCUGACGGAGCAACGCCGCGUGAACGAAGAAGGCCUUCGGGUCGUAAAGUUCUGUUGUUAGGGAAGAACAAGUACCAGAGUAACUGCUGGUACCUUGACGGUACCUAACCAGAAAGCCACGGCUAACUACGUGCCAGCAGCCGCGGUAAUACGUAGGUGGCAAGCGUUGUCCGGAAUUAUUGGGCGUAAAGCGCGCGCAGGUGGUUCCUUAAGUCUGAUGUGAAAGCCCACGGCUCAACCGUGGAGGGUCAUUGGAAACUGGGGAACUUGAGUGCAGAAGAGGAAAGUGGAAUUCCAAGUGUAGCGGUGAAAUGCGUAGAGAUUUGGAGGAACACCAG
rnacentral:rRNA from 1 species